AUACUCUGGUUUCUUUCUAGAGCGCAUAAAUCUUUCGCCUUUUAAUAGAGAUUUCCAUGGAGUGUAGUAUACAAAUGAACUGUUGUUGUUAAUGAUGGUGUGGUUGUUAUA